AAAUGUUAUUGUUUAAAACUAUUUUAAUGCAUUAAUCUAAACUAUUUUGUUGUUUCAUUAUAAAUAAAAAUAUUUGAUGUAAAUUUUUAACAUAAAAUUUACAUCAAAUAUUUUUGAUUACUACAAUUUGAUUACUACACUUAAUUUGUAGAUAAUGUUACAAUAGCCUUACAUGACAAAUAUAGAGAAACAGAAGAAAACGUCAAUGAAAUAAGUACAUGUGGAAUAUCUGAAACACAUAUAGAAAAUGAAAUGAUUAAUAUUGAUAAUGAAUGUAUAUUUGUAAAAAAUAAAACGUAAGACAUUAAACGCAGAGACAUUGAAAUUGUAAAUAAAGUUAUGGAGGACAAACUAACGCAAACAGAAUUGAAAUUAUCUUAUUGUAGUCCAAGAAAAAAAAAUUAAGAUGUCAAAACAUUUAUCUUCGUAAAAAAA